rnacentral:tRNA from 1 species
UGUCCAGGUAUGGGAAUCGAACCCACAGUGUUCCGCUUACCGGGCAGAUGCCAUGUCCACUAGGCUACCCUGGAC